GUUUAGGUCUAGGCUGAUUAGACAGACUCCCACCUCUCUCUGGAGAAGGUUUAGGUCUAGGCUGAUUAGACAGACUGCCAUCUCUCUCUGGAGAAGGUUUAGGUCUAGGCUGAUUAGACAGACUGCCACCUCUCUGGAGAAGGUUUAGGUCUAGGCUGAUUUGUUCUAUGUUUAGAUAAUUGUCUUUGAGUCACAGACAGUUUACGUCACAGACAGCACUGAGAUAUAAGAAAGUAGGCCUGCGUGUCUAGCCCUUCUAUCUAGCCAUUCCUACCCAUAAGAGCUCUCUGCGGGAUUUUGAAAUGAAAUACCGUCUAUUUCUCGGUUAAACCAAAACCAUUUCUGG
rnacentral:lncRNA from 1 species